CGAACUCUCAAGUCUCAAUCUGAAUCUCUGAAUAAUCUCAUCCCAAACCGAGAAGGCCAGAAUCCAGAUCUCGAACUCGGAAUCGGAAGUCGGAACCUUGCUUCUUCUCUGAAUCUCUUUUCUCUGGUGAGUCCUCCUCCUUUUCUUAAUUUCUUCUCGUCUUCUCUUCUUUUGCUGCAACUUCUUCAAAUCCAGGUCUCGAACUCGGAAUCGGAUGUUUUGGUUUGCGUUAUUUGGUUGAUUGUGAGGUUUUGAGAUCCGGGUAUUUGUUAAUUUGAUGAAAAUUUCAAUUUUUGUUGUUGUUUAAAUUGUUUUCCAAGGAAUAAUAAAAGGGUAAUUUGUAAUAAUUUUUGUUGCCUUUGGGGAAAUAACGCAAAGUAUUCAUCCGGAAAUGUGUUUGAUUUGAUGGAAAAAAAUUGGUGUUAUUCAGCGCUCCACAAUCGAUAAGCAAGUCUGCGUAGUGCUCACCUGUAGAAAUAUAUACAACUUUAUUUGUUACAGUUCAACUUAGAUAUUACAAUGCAAUUGAAGAACGGAAGUACUUGAACAUAUUAUGACUAAUCAGCCUUAGCCCUUACAUAAGUAUUAUUAGUAGCAUCAUCUUUGGUAGUAUGAUUUUAUUUAUAUAAUAGUCUUUUCUCUGUUGUCUAUAAUAUGUGCAGUAUAAAGAUCCCAUUGAAUGUACUUGUUUACUUUCAUGGGGUGAAAUACUCUCGUCAUACUGUUGCAAUGCAAAAACAUACACACUGUGGUACUAUUUUAGGCAUUUAGCAAAAUCCCAAACAAGCAAGUUUAAGACUGUUUAUGUAUUUAGCUUGCAAAUCAACCAAAUAACACCCCUGACUGGGAUUUAGCUUAGUUGAUUGACUGGGAUUUAGCUUGGUUGAUUGGGAGGUUUUGAGAUCUGGGUAUUUGUUAAUUUGAUGAAUACUUUUGAAUAUCUACACAUUUUUUACUUUAUAUACAUAUAUAUUUAACUUACCAUUUUUUUAUAUUUAAAUUCAUGCUAUUACUUCAGGCAUCAGUUCUCUGAUCCAUCAAAACCUGAGUUCCCUUUUGAGAAUGGGAACAAAGGUGGUAGAGAUGAAGAAGUUAUAAACAUUGCUCAUAAAUCCGCUGAGCAACAAAAAAAAAUGUUUAAAUUUGCAUGAGACAAAUACUAUUUAAUGAGAUUGAAAAGUAAAAUUGUUUAAAGAGACUGCUAUUUUUUUUAAGCCUUAGUUUUUGGAAUUAUAAAUAUGCUUCAUUUCUUCACUCCCAUAAUCCCAUCAUCUCAAGUGGGUAUAAAGUUGAUGUCCCAGAUAUUCUUAGUGGUUCAUAAUCAAGUCUCUUCCUGCGUUCCACUUUGUAACAAAAUCACCUUGUUAGUUUUAUUCACGGGGCAGGUAUUGAGUCUGUGUUGUAAAUAUUCAUGUGCUUGAUUACGCUUAUUCAUACAUGCGUGUACUUUAGACAUUUUCCCAAUUACAAAUGUGAUCUUGUUGUUUAUGUUAGAAGGAAAUAAUAAAAAACAAAGCUAUGGUUGCAUUGUUGCUAAUUGCUAUGCCCCCCUUCCUCUUUUCUAUGUACGACAAGAUUUGGAUCCCAAAGUACAGUGUUAAUUAGCUAGCUGUUUGAUUUGCCAUGUGGUGGUGUUUAAUUAGCUAUAUGUUAUUUGUAUAGAUUAUUGGGUGCUUAUAAAAAUCUAUUGCUUGGAUAAUUGGUCAUUUUCUGUCAGCCCAUUAGCAGCUAUAGUUUUAGUUCUCUUGUCCUCUAAAUUUAGUGGAGCUUGCUUUUGAUUACCAUCAUAUUUUGAUUGUUACUCUGUCAUGUGAUUACCAUCAUAUUUUAUACUUGUUGAACUAAGCUCGAGCAAGCCAUUUCACCUAAUCGAGCUUGAAUUGAUCUCAUUAAGGCGAGACGAUGAUUGAGUUAAUUUGACUUGAUCUCAUUAAGGCGAGAUGAUGAUUGCGUUAAUUUUUAUUAUUGUCAUUUUCAACUUUUACUGAAAACAGACUUCAUUCAGUUUCUAUGUUUUCCUAAAAGAGCAAGCUGUAAUUUAAUUCAACUGAUAAGUUGGAUGUGGACAUGUGGUGUUUGGUAGCUGUCCCGUACAACCAUGUUUGCUGUUAGCAGUCAUCCCCUCCACUCAACUUUAUUUAUUCUUUUCACUCUCACACAUUUUAAGAAAACAUUAAGACUGGUGAAAAAGUUAUUUAUAAUCCCCAAAACAAACCUUAACUAAUAUCCAUAAUUUUCUCUUAUUUCAGAAAAGAAGAAGAAGAGGUAAAGUGGUUCUAUUUGAAUUAAUAAGAAACUUAGGAUGACAAGGUUUUGGGACUUCCUGAAAAGGAAAGGGGGAACAAAAGUAAAGUUGGGUAGCGGGAGUAUACCUUUAUCUAUUAUACUCGCAAUAUAAUCAUGUUAAAUAUAUAAAAACUUUUGCAAAACACAGAAAGGGGGGCAAUACCAAAUGUACAAUUGAUGAUCGUACACAUAUUAUGUGCUUAUAGACAGAUGGAAAUUUUUCUGAAGUAUCUUUUAGUAAAAAAGUUUAUUGUGUCUUUGAUCUAUCCUGCGACAUACUGACAGUCGAAACCAUUGGUUGUAGAAGUGUGUUAUUUACACCAAAAGAGCUAUACAGUCAUCUCCACUCACGAUACUCUUGAUUUCUGAUUCAUAUCUUUGUUCUCUGAAAACUCAAAAAAAAAGAAGAAAUAAAAAAUAGGAUAAGAAGAAGGGAAACAAGUCAAUGUAGUACCCAACUUCUACCUCUAAAAUCUUUUUUACUUUGAUUUCCUUGUACUUUUCUUUAUUUUCUACUAUACCUUUCUUGGUACUACAAGAAGUACUUAAAUUUUGAGCUCUAGUAAUUCGUAGCUCUAUUUUUCUUUAUAUGCUAGUUAUGGUAUUCAGCUUCCAAGACACUAGUUGAGAAAGCUGCCUGGGAAUUUGCCAAAGAAAAAGGUUCGGACUUGUACUGGCGUGCUGUGUUCGCAUCCACUGUCAAGAGAUAUACGAGUGAGUAAUUAAUUUUGAUUGAUCUGUGUCUUAUCGCAAACAUUUUUAUUUUGUUGAACUAUUUAGUCUGUAUAAUAUUCAUUUGUUACUGAAUCAAUAUAGCUUUCUUUCGUAAAUUUUACUAUGAAUUUGUUGCUCAAAAACUGAAUAAAAAUCCAUUUUUUUACUUAUUAAAGUAAUAUAAAGAGGAGGGUUUAAGGAAUCAACCGCAAAAGUUGGAUGCUUUGAGUGAAUAAAGAAUAGAUAAGGCGUUAGACUCUUUCUUCCUUUUAUAUGUUAGUAAAAAAAUAGUAUUAGUAGCAUUUUGUUGGAUUAAAUAUGCUAAAUAGGUGUUAUGUAUAUAUAGCUUUCUUACUUUGGUAAUAUAUAUUCAUGACUUUUAAGUCUAUAACACGUAUGGUAUGCUAUCUCUAGAUUUUUGUUUUUUCGGUCUUUGUUGGUUUGUUGUUAAAUGAACUAGAAUGAUGCUAUAAUUUUAUUUUAUUUUAUAUUUUUUUAUGUAAUUUACUGAAGGGAAUUUUCUUGAAAAUAUGAAUUAUGGCUGGAGUAUAACUUUGGUUUGGUUGAUCUUGAAAUUAUAUUCCUCUUAGCCAUUAAAUAGGGGAGAUAAAUGAUUUUUUUACUAGUCCAUUUGUAGAUUCAUUAUGUUAAUAUAGCAACAUAUUUGUCGUCUGAAGAAAAGUUUUUUCACAUUGACUAAUAGCCUCAAUUUUUUCAUAAUUAUUGUCCUUUCUAUAUAGAAAUCUAAACAUUGUUAUUUAAGAUUGUGNNNNNNNNNNNNNNNNNNNNNNNNNNNNNNNNNNNNNNNNNNNNNNNNNNNNNNNNNNNNNNNNNNNNNNNNNNNNNNNNNNNNNNNNNNNNNNNNNNNNGAGGUCAACAUAUAAUAAUAAUCUACAAGUCUUGUAACAGAAAAUAUGUUUACCACUAUGCUUACUGAAAUUAAUUCAUGAAAUGACCGAUUAUGAUUCCAAUUUUGUCUUGUAACAGAGCAAUCAUAUAGUCGCACUGAAGGUUCUUUUUCUAUUUGGAUUUGUAGCUAAUGAAAUUGUGAUUGCCUAUUUGUCUUUUUUUGCUUAUGAGCAAUAUGGUGUACAUUAGUACCACGUAGCAACUCUAUUGUCUUUGUGUAUUGAUUUUGGCACUAAGUGCCUCUGGUGACCUGUUUGCUUCAUUUUUCUGACUUGCUAUUAUUUUUAAAUAUGUGUAGGAAGACUGCUUCUACGACCUGUCUUACAAUACUGGGUAUCAAAUUUUCGUGCUACGUUUACGAAAGACGAGGGAAGAAAUUAUGAAGUGUACUCUCUCUAUAUAUGUAGAUAUAUACUUUGAUUGAAAAACUGUGGUAGCUUUAGAUAGUUAAUUGUAAAAAUAAUGAAUGAUUAUGUAGUGGAUGAUUUUAUAAAGUUAAUAAUAUUUUAAUUUUUUAUAUUUUUGCCAUUAUUUGUUAUGGGGACAUUGAGUCAGCCAUGUACAAAAAAAGAAUGUCAAAUUUUGAUUUGGCAACAAUAUAAUUUGUUACUAAAGUAUUGAAC
rnacentral:lncRNA from 1 species